rnacentral:rRNA from 1 species
GCCAGCCCGCUCAGAAACUCAAAUGAAUUGACGGGGGCCCGCACAAACGGUGGAGUAUGUGGUUUAAUUCGAUGCAACGCGAAGAACCUUACCUGGUCUUGACAUCCCGGAGACCCUUAGGAAACUAGGGGGUGCUUCCAUCUGGAAGAAUCUGGAGACAGGUGCUGCAUGGCUGUCGUCAGCUCGUGUCGUGAGAUGUUGGGUUAAGUCCCGCAACGAGCGCAACCCUUGCCUUUAGUUGCCAGCAGUUCGGCUGGGCACUCUAAAGGGACUGCCGGUGUUAAACCGGAGGAAGGUGGGGAUGACGUCAAGUCCUCAUGGCCUUUAUGACCAGGGCUACACACGUACUACAAUGGCCGAUACAAAGGGCAGCGACACUGCGAGGUGAAGCCAAUCCCAUAAAACCGGUCUCAGUCCGGAUUGGAGUCUGCAACUCGACUCCAUGAAGUUGGAAUCGCUAGUAAUCGUGGAUCAGCAUGCCACGGUGAAUACGUUCCCGGGCCUU